rnacentral:rRNA from 1 species
UCUACGGGAGGCAGCAGUGGGGAAUAUUGCACAAUGGGGGAAACCCUGAUGCAGCGACGCCGCGUGAAGGAAGAAGUAUCUCGGUAUGUAAACUUCUAUCAGCAGGGAAGAAAAUGACGGUACCUGACUAAGAAGCCCCGGCUAACUACGUGCCAGCAGCCGCGGUAAU